rnacentral:sRNA from 1 species
AGACCGUGCCUUUCAGGCAUCCUCUCCUAAAAACUUUCAAGGGGUCGGACUUUCGGGUCCGGCCCUUUUUUUCGUCGCGA